CCAAUAACAAUGACCUAUCAAUCAUCUGUCGUGACUUUCCAUCGUCAAAGCAGUCAUCUGAAACCAAAGUUUGAGAGAAAGAGAGAGUAGAGAUGAGGUUGUUCGAUCCAUGGCCGGUGUUCUUCAAAAGGGAGUGGAAACGUUGUUGGCCGUUUCUCACCGGAUUCGCCGUAACCGGCGUCCUCAUCACCAAGCUCACCGCUGGAUUCACUGAGGAAGACGCCAAGAACUCCAAGUUCGUCCAGCAACACAGGCGGUGAUCUACUCAAGUGAACUCUAUUGCUGAGAGUGCUUUCAGACUUUAUUAUUCUAAUAAACAUAAAAGAGAGAAUCCUACUUACUUCUUGUUGAUCUCUCGUUUCCUUUCAUCUUUUGUCUUUUCACAACUCUCGAAACAGUGUUAAGUUUGAAAUGGUUUGAUUCCAAUCUUUUCCCCCUUAUGUUUGAAAUGGAUUGGCUCUAUUUUUGUUAUGUUGAAUCGAAUAUAGAUGGCUGACCAUCA